CUCCGGGUCUAGCAACUGCAGACGACGCCAUCGUCAGUUUCAGCGCCAGCAACACAUCGGGGAUCGCCACAAGGAUCGUCGUUACUGCUAGCUUCAACAUCGGCAUCAAACAAAAUGGAAGACACACAUGGUUGCUACCUUGGUCAGUCUCUCACCUGAUCCAAGAUCUCUGGAGCACUGCUCAUGCUUGUCAACUUUCGCUUCUGGCAAAAGUUGAUUCGGCGUUCUUCCCCGGCUGGAGCGUGCAGUUUGCUGUGCGGUACAUCUCCUCUGCAAACUAUUGGUGUCACCAGGCCCACGUGCUGCUAACAAGAGGCCAUGGACAAGGAUAGAGCUGCUUCCCUGGCAAUUAACAGAACACUGACGCAGUCAUCUUUAUCAGCGGCAGCGGCUUCAUCAGCGGUAUCGAACUGGCGAGGGUGUGGUGAGCGAGUAACAGGGCUGGCAAAGGUGGCAUGCUUUCAACAACCAUUGUCACUUGCCAGUUCUCUUGCGCCAUCGAAUCUUGAGGUUAAU